AUGACUGGCUUGCUCAGGAAGUUGGUUGAGGGGUGGACGUCUCUUAGUGGCUCUGACAGCAACGCGGUUGCGAGGCAGUUCACUACAUUUGUCCCAGAAUGGACACAUCGGCCAACUGGUUGCCGUGGCCGGUAUGACUACAACAGUUCCCAAGAGCUUGCUGACACACAAGAUGAACUAGAUGGAGACACCGGUCUCAGCAAGGAUGACGACGAUGACAUGGAGAACAUGCAACAGGACACCGAUGAUGAUGAACAUGCUGAAGUUCGUGCAGGUGGUAACAAGGGCAAGGAUGCACCAGAUGUCCCCCCACCGGAGAAAGUCAAAGAACAUACGGGUGCGAGAGGCGAGGGGGUGUUGCCAUCAAAGAGGGGGAGGGCUCCAGAGGAUGUUGGGCAGGGUUCUCCUGGCAAGAGGGUGAAGAAGACUACUACACGCGGGGCCAAGCAUAUCAGUAGGGACCCACUCGAACGCCUUCAUUCAAAGUUGUCAACACGGGGCAACUCAGAUGUUCAUGAGGCGCCAGUCGACAAAACUGCUGCUGCACCGUCAACUGUUCCCACUAACUCUGACGCAAGUGGCCGACCAUCUCCGCCGGUUGCAGAUGUGCAGGUUAGAACAACAUGCAUCCGUACAUCGGGGAGUGACGAGUCGGUAUCUGCCAGGACAGCUGAAAUAUUGCCAACUCUUCUGGCAAUGAAGGAUGUUGCCGUGAGCCAUGCCACCCCAUCAGCAAGCGUUGAAGUGGACGCUCCUGAGACCAACCUAAGCAAGGAAGAUUCCCACUCAUCUGACACUGAUUCCAAGCGCGUGCAUGGUGGCACUCCUGUGUCCACGACAGAAGUGGCUGAGGCGGCAGUUCAUAAUGAUAUGCCAUCUACAGAAGACCGGAGCACAACUAAUGCAGGUGUCAAGCCGUGCACGAGUGACGCAGGUGAACGUCCGGAGCAGACUGCGCCUUUACCCGCAGUGGAAAUCCCUAGCUUAAAUCUGCGCACUUCCAGGCUCCGAGUCAAUGUGGGUGUCCCCUACAGCCCAAACAAGAAGAUUGUCAAGAAAGUUGCGGCUAAUACCACUGACAACACGCCCCGCCCUACAAAUAAGCCCAAUCAUUCUAUAGUGGCCGAUUCAGAUAUGUUUGUUGAUCUUUUACCCUUGGAUCCUGCCUCGCAAGUUGUUCGUGGUCCAGCCAGUAGGCAUGAGAGGCACCCAAUGGCCUUCACCCCACCGAGCUUCAGCCUUGGCAUCAGUCAAGAUCAACCAGUGGUGCCAGAUCCUAUGCCAGUUGCCUUUGCUUUCCCGGGAGGCAUGCCCGCAAUGAUGGUGCAGCCAAUGGUCAAGGGCAGGAAGGCUGUCAAGUUCGCAGAGCCGAUAGUCCAAGGCACCCCUGAGGAGAUUUCACCGUCACUUGAUGAAGCUUACCGCAGGAUCGAGGAGGCAUCAUUGCAGAGGAGGUCCUCACGAGGUCAGGGGCAAUCAAGUUUCAACGUGCCUGCAGAUACGGUAUCUGAGGAUACCAUUAGGAGUGCCACCCCUGGCUCUAUGAGGCAGCAGAGGGUAGUUCACCCACCUCCCGCGGAAGACUACGAGCCCGAAUUUAGGGCCACAAAGGAACAGACCCAGCUGUAUGAUAUUGUCAAGCGAUUUGGAAAUGCGAGGUCCGGCAGCAAGCACAUGAAGGAGCUGAAAGCGUAA
rnacentral:rRNA from 1 species